rnacentral:rRNA from 1 species
GUAGGAGGCAAGCGUUAUCCGGAUUCACUGGGCGUAAAGCGCGUGCAGGCGGUGCGGUAAGUUAGGCGUGAAAUCUCCCGGCUCAACUGGGAGAGGUCGUCUAAUACUACCGUACUUGAGAGCAGAAGAGGAAGAUGGAAUUCCCGGUGUAGUGGUGAAAUGCGUAGAUAUCGGGAGGAACACCAGUGGCGAAGGCGAUCUUCUGGUCUGUUUCUGACGCUCAGACGCGACAGCUAGGGUAGUAAACGGGAUUAGAGACCCCGGUAAUCCUAGCCGUAAACGAUGUGAACUUGGCGUUGGUGGGUUAAACUCCAUCAGUGCCGCAGCAAACGCGAUAAGUUCACCGCCUGGGGACUACGGCCGCAAGGUUAAA